UAAGCUCACCACCCAAUCCAAUUGGUCUGUCGUGUGCCCUACGCUGAACGCGCAGUCAUCCGAUACUUCACCGCGUCACUGCCCUCUAAAACGCGGAAGAAAACAAGUCUUCCAAACAACGACUUCUACUUCAUCGUAUAAAUUCACAAAGUUCAAUCGAAAUUCGCUGCGAAAACUUGAAUCCGUACAUAUUUACCGGGAAAACCAAGGCCGAUUAUUGUCGGUCCAAAGCCUCAGGGUUUAAGGACAUAAUUUUUGCUUCAUUGCGAGGAAAUAGUAGUAGUUUUGGGUAAAUAAAUCGUUCACGAUGUUUACGCGGAUUUUUGGAAAGCCCAAGCAAGAGACAAAUGCUCUGGCAACAUUAGAUAAGUUGAACGAGACUCUUGAGAUGCUAGAGAAAAAAGAGAAAGUUCUCUUGAAAAAGGCUGCUGGAGAAGUUGAGAAGGCCAAAGAAUUCACUAAAGCUAAAAAUAAAAGGGCUGCUAUACAAUGUUUGAAAAGGAAAAGGCUUUAUGAGCAACAAAUUGAGCAGCUGGGGAAUUUUCAGUUACGCAUUCAUGAUCAGAUGAUAAUGCUAGAGGGAGCAAAAGCUACAACAGAAACUGUCGACGCCCUGAGAACUGGAGCUGCUGCAAUGAAAGCCAUGCAGAAGGCCACGAAUAUUGAUGAUGUGGACAAAACGAUGGAUGAGAUCAACGAGCAGACUGAAAAUAUGAAACAAAUUCAAGAUGCAUUGUCGGCACCAAUUGGUGCAGCAGCUGAUUUCGAUGAGGAUGAAUUGGAGGCUGAGCUUGAAGAACUUGAAGGAGCUGAGCUGGAGGAACAGCUUUUGCAACCUGCAACAACGGCUCCUGCUGCCCCCAUUCGAGUGCCUGCCGGAAGGCAACCAGCACACAAAGUUGAAGAGGAAGACGACGAACUUGCUGAAUUACAGAGGGAAAUGGCCCUUUAACGAGUUGCUGCGUCGAGUCGUCGGGAAGAAAUUACAGUAAGACGUCGUAUUGAAAGGUUAUCAUAGUUUCAGCUGCUAUUCAUGGUAAGACUAAAUGUGUGAGUGAGACGGAUUGGGCGAGGUUAGAGAACGGUAUGGGGGUGGGUCUCGAUACGGGUCAAAUUGAGUUUCGGUGCAAAUCGUUGGUUACAUGCUGGAUAAAUUAAAAUAAUUAUUGUUGUGAUUAAAAAUAAUAUUUCCUCCGUCCCAUCACAAAUGUCUCAUUGUUUUUUAGCACGGAGAUUAAGAAAUAUGUAUAAAGUAGAUAAAGUGGAUUGGUGGACAUUAUUUAAAUAUUAAGUAUAAAGAGAGAAUGUAUUGCCAAAAAAAGUAUCAGACAUUUGUAAUGGGACGUCCCAUUAUGGAAAGUGAGACAUUUGUAAUGGGACGGGGGGAGUAAUAGACAUGAAGAAAUGCAAUAUCUGUCAAAAAUUAUUUUUUUCAUGAGAAUUGUUAUUUUUACUCACGAAAAUUUAUAUUUUUCGUUUAUUUGUCAAGUUAU